ACGCUCGACACCUACGGGGGGCAGCAGUGAGGAAUAUUGGUCAAUGGGCGCUAGCCUGAACCAGCCAAGUAGCGUGAAGGAUGAAGGCUCUAUGGGUCGUAAACUUCUUUUAUAUAAGAAUAAAGUGCAGUAUGUAUACUGUUUUGUAUGUAUUAUAUGAAUAAGGAUCGGCUAACUCCGUGCCAGCAGCCACGGUAAUCUGAGCGGGCUGGCAAGGC
rnacentral:rRNA from 1 species